rfam:Oryza barthii chromosome 1, whole genome shotgun sequence.
AAAAAGGCAAACCCUGAGUUUUCGUGUCCAACUUUGACUGUCCGUCUUAUAUAAAUUUUUUUUAUAAUUUGUAUUUUUAUUGUUGUUAGAUGAUAAAACAUGAUUAAUAUUUUAUGUGUGACUUGUCUUUUUAAUUUUUUUCAUAUUUUUUUCAAAUAAGACGGACGGUCAAACGUUGGGCACGGAAACCAGGGCUUGUCUUUAUU